rnacentral:rRNA from 1 species
UGAGGAACAUGACUUUCGGCGGGGGAUAGCCGGCCCGACGGCCGGGUAAUACCGCGUACGACCUUUUGGGGACAUCCCCGAUUGGUGAAAGCAGCAAUGCGCCGAAAGAGUGCCUCGCGGCCUAUCAGCUAGUUGGUGGGGUAAUGGCUCACCAAGGCAACGACGCGUAGCCGACCUGAGAGGGUGAUCAGCCACAUUGGAACUGAGACACGGUCCAGACUCCUACGGGAGGCAGCAGG